GAUGAAGAACGUAGCGAAACGCGAUACGUAAUGUGAAUUGCAGAAUUCAGUGAAUCAUCGAAUCUUUGAACGCACCUUGCGCCCCUCGGCAUUCCGAGGGGCAUGCCUGUUUGAGUGUCACGGAUCCUUCGAACCCCGCCGGUCUCCGACGAGCCGGCCGCCUGGGUUCGGUCCUGGGCGCUACGCCACCCCUCCGGGGCUGGCCCGCCUCACAAGCAUCAGCUGGGCCUCGCGGCGUGGGCGGGCUCCGGUCGGCGUGAUAAGUCAUCUGCCGAGAGGGUGCCCGUCCGUCCCGCGGAUCGCGGUCCGCUCCCAACCCCUCCCCGCGCGCCGUCCCCCCCCGGGGAGCGCGCGGGGACGUUUCGACGCUCUGGCCUCAAAUCAGGUAGGACCACCCGCUGAACUUAAGCAUAUCAAUAAGCGGAGGA
rnacentral:misc_RNA from 1 species